rnacentral:rRNA from 1 species
CCUACGGGUGGCUGCAGUAGGGAAUCUUCCACAAUGGGCGAAAGCCUGAUGGAGCAACGCCGCGUGGGUGAUGAAGGUCUUCGGAUCGUAAAACCCUGUUGUCAGAGAAGAUAGUGCGUGAGAGUAACUGUUCACGUUUCGACGGUAUCUUACCAGAAACCGACGGCUAACGACGUGCCAGCAGCCGCGCUAAUACGUAGGUGGCAAGCGUUAUCCGGAGUUAUUGGGCGUAAAGGGAACGCAGGCGGUCUUUUAAGUCUGAUGUGAAAGCCUUGGGCUUAACCUGAGUAGUGCAUUGGAAACUGGGAGACUAGAGUGCAGGAGAGGAGAAUGGAACUCCAUGUGUAGCGGUGAAAUGCGUAGAUAUAUGGAAGAACACCAGUGGCGAAGGCGGCUCUCUGGUCUGUAACUGACGCUGAGGUUCGAAAGCGUGGGGAGCAAACAGGAUUAGAUACCCUUGUAGUC